ACGCAAUUUAUAAUUUUUAGCAGCAAUACUAAAUUUUAAUUUUGAAAUGCUAGCCUGGCUUGUCAUCGAUUCUUCACUAACAUGAAACUUGAUUUCAAUUUCACGUUCAGAAUGAUACAAAUUCUUUCCUGCUAAAUUUAUGUUGCAGGGUUUCGAUGGGAUCGACAGUGGUUGGUAGUGAAUUCCAAAGGCAGGGCUUAUACACAGAGACUAGAACCAAAGCUUGCUUUAGUUGAAGUAGAACUGCCAAAUGAAGCAUUCUCUGAUGGUUGGGUUCCAAAUAACAGCUCAUACAUGGGUAAAAGCUCGGACUUCUACAAUAAAAUUCAAAUUUAUUCUCCAGUUUUUAGAUAUUUACCUUCUUGUUUUGUCAUUUGAUCAAUAACAACCUACUACAGGAUUGAAAUUUUCCCCCUUGACUUGACUUUUCAUGUCAAGCUGCAUAUCUUAGGCAUUAUUAACACAAUAAGAUAAAAGAAUUUAGAUAAAGAACUGGCAGAAGAGUUGAGAACUAGUAGAUUAAUUGCGAAAUUAUGAGCGUACUUUCCCUGUUGCCUAUUCGUCCUUUUCUUUUUCUUUUUCUUUUUUUUUUUCCGGCGGGGGGGGGGUGGUUGGUUGUCUCCAGAGGUUGGGGUUGAUGGAGAGAUUGGAGUUUGUUCCUAUACUUUAUGAUUGCAAUAUACCUGUAAUCUUUGGUGACUAUUGGAUAUGCCAUAAACAUUGAUAAGAUGUGCAUGUAACUUUUUGUUCCUUUCCCUGACCACCGAGGUAGGGGAACUUUUCCCUGGUUCUAUGAUUACAUUAUGCAUGUUCUUUUUCUGACUAAUGGAUGAUACAUAAUGUCACAGUGAUAAGAGCUCCUGGCAUGGAUCCACUGAAGGUUUCCUUAUCUAAACCCUCUGCAACAGCUGAUGGUGUCUCAGUCUGGGAGUGGUCUGGCUCUGCAUUUGAUGAGGGAGAUGGUGCAUCAAAAUGGUUCUCCAGAUAUCUUGGAAAGCCAAGUAGAUUAGUUCGUUUUAAUGAAGGUAGCGAUCAAUCUUUAUAUUCUACAGAAAUUCUGGUUUUAUGUCUAGCAAUAAAAAAUCUGCCGCUUGAUAUUAUGGUUGUCUUCACCUCAUGAAUGCAAAUUCAUGUUUGUGAUAUUUACCUGCUUAUUUUCUUGAAAGGUCACUAGGCAUGUUCCGAAGCAUUUCGAAAGCACGUUGUUGAGAGUUGUAGCUUUUUUUUUUUUUGCCCCUUUUAUAAAUUAAGAACUGUACUCUUUUGUUGGUUGGCUACAUUUCACAGAAACUUGGCUUGAAAUAAACUUCUCUUGAUCUUUUUAAUUGUUAGUCUUCAAUUUUUUCUUUUUGGUUUUUGAACUUUUUGAUUGAACCAUUGGCUUCUCUAACUUCAAGGAUGACUUGUCUGUACUACUAAGUUUGAGAUUCUUAGUCAUAUAUGGAUCUCUCUGAUAGUCUGUUUACUUAACAAUUGAUGCCUAGAGAUCCUUACUACUCCGUUUGACAAGAAUUGAAGUUUCAAAGUAAAUUGAGUUGCAGUCGUAAGUUGAGGCUAUAAGGCUAGGAUCUCCAAGGCUUUCAUGUUAUGCUUUACUGACAGAUUUAUUCAAUUAGCAGGAAAUUGACUGUCCAUAUAUCAAUACUUGGUAAUGUCCCUGAAUUUCCACAAUUGCUAACAUGUUGAAAUACAGGGUAGUUUGAUUGCCUGUUGACAGUUAUUGGCAAUUAGAGGAUUUGACUUAGUUGGAUGUCCUUGUUGAUGACUUAGAAUCCAAAUAUGCAACUGUUUUUCUUUGCAUCUAAAAAUUUGACGUGCAGUCCAUGCUGCACCUAAAGCAGAAUGACUAGGCUGUUUAUUUAAAAGAAAAAAAUAAAUAAAAUAUAGAGGGAUAGGAGGAUAAUGAUUUUGUGUGCUGUUUGUGGUGCAGCGUCAAACAAGGAAUGUCGACCCUAACUAUGCUCCUGGAUACAAAGUCAUUUCUCUGACCAGUAUCCCUUCCUCCUUGCAUCCCAGGUUAAUUAAAUUUGAAUUACAGUGGCAUUGUCCUAUCAGAUGGCUUCCAGAUGUUGAUAAUUCCCAAUAUGCCUUUUGCAGGGAUCAUUAGAAGCCUUGAAUAAACUUCUCAAGGAACCAAUACCAAUUAAUCGUUUUAGGCCCAAGUAAGUAUAGAAAGUUCUCCUUUUCAUAGUUUUGAUCAUUCCUCACUGCAUAUCUAACACUUCUGCGUAUAAUAGCUACACUCAAUUUUUGCAGUGCUCAGACCAAACAUAUUUGGUCUUUUAAAAUCCUUACAGGUGUUUGCUUCUCCUGAAAUGGGCAGAGAUUCUUGUUUAUUCUUUCUUUAAAAAAUGUUCUUUUCUUGAACUAAAGAUAUUAAAAUUUGCACAACGGCAGUAUUCUUGUUGAUGGAUGUGAACCAUUUGCCGAGGACUUGUGGAAGGAGAUCAGGAUCCAGAAGUUAACAUUCAAUGGUGUCAAAUUAUGCUCUCGCUGUAAGGUAAUAUCCUAUCCCUUAUCUUUUGGCUGAACUAUUUUCAUUCACCUUGCUUCUUUAGAAUCCAAUUGUUGAGCGGAGAGAUCCUGGCUUUCAGUGUGCAGGAAUUUAUUGGUCAUCUUGUUGCCUAGAUAUUUUAUUGCUAACAGAAAUAUGGCCGUCUUAUCAACUGGAAGAACAGUGCUUGGUUUGUAGUUGAGUGUCGUAAAAUGCUAAGUAGCUCCUGAAUAUGUGAAUUUGUGGCUGACCGUCAAUGUCACAAAGCAUUAAAUAUGAAUACUAGUGUACUAAAAAUUUUUGUAGGUUGCAAUAGGUUCUGAGUCUACCGUGCACAUUUAUUUAUAUACACUCGUAGACUCCAAGAGCCAAAGGAAAACUUGUCCAACUUGGUCUGCUACCUGAAAGGAAAUUGAUAUUUUGUCAUUAUGUGAGUUUUCGAGUAUAUAAAUAAGACUCUUAAGAACCGAAGUAGAACUUUGCUGGUCUGUUAGGAAUUUUGAAGCUAAAUAGCUCGAGAGCUAAUCAAAACUACAGUAAAAAGUUCAUACUCUAAGCUGUGUAAUGUUUUUCUGAGCUUGAGAAAGGUUGUAAUCUCAUACGCAGGAACCGUUUAAGAUAACCUGCUAUUGGAUUUCUUUUUUCAACGUUCAUAAUUAACCAGACAUAACCAAAUGUUUUUAUUCCUUGCCUUUCGCCCUUAUUUCAUCAUGAGCUUCAUUUUGGGCCAAACUUGCACUGGUGGACAUAAACCUCAAUAAACACGCAGUGCUAUAACAUGCUGAAAUCACAAAACUCGUAUAUUAUACUUACUGGGGUAGAAAGACAGUUGCUGUUCUUGUGCUUCCAGCAGUUGGAUUCUCAGUCUGAUGUACAUGACCAGUCAGCUCAAAAGCCACAAGUCUUUCGUGUCUUAGAUGAUCUUAACAUCUGUAAUGUUGACUCGAAUCUUUCGCGUCCAAACCGUGGGAUUUUAGAUGGUUGUUUGGUAGACUGUGUGUAUUGAAUGCAAUUGGAAUUAUUAGUUCAGGCGUGCAUGUGUUGAUGUGUUAUAGUACUUCUCAUCAAUCUAUAGUUGAAGACUUUAAUGUUCUAUGCUACUUGUCUCUUUCAGGUACCCACAAUUAAUCAAGAAACUGCAAUUGCAAACUCCGAGCCAACUGAGACUCUGAAGAAGUUCCGUUCGGAUAAAGUACUGCGCAAGAAACCGCAGGGCACCAAGGUAAAUCAGGGGAACUUGGACUAUAACUUAGAAUAUAAUUCUAUCAGCAUAAUUACGUAUUGAGGGUGUGAGCAUUUGAAUCUGCAGGUGUAUUUUGGACAGAACAUGGUAUGCUCCGACUCUCAAAUUCCAGGAAAGGGAAAGAUGAUAACGGUGGGAGAUCCUGUCUAUGUUCUCAAGGCGUUCUCUUCUGCAGCUGAUGCUGAAGCUUGAAUGCUCUUGCAGUCUUCCCAUUUGCCAGUAAUCUGUUGUGUGGGAAACAAAAGAACCAAAUAAAUAAGUUGCCACAGGGCAUUUUCUUCGCCUUUGUGAAUCAUUUCCCCCGUUGCAUGCCAUGGCAUGGUUUGCUCGGCAAAAUUACAGAGGGAAUUGUAUGCAAACAAAUAAAAUUCCCGUGCUCUUGCCUUUAAGCAAAGCCGUCCAAGUAAUCUGAGAUAUUUUUAAAAACAUUUUAUACGGUAAUUACUAUAUCAAGCUUUUCUUUAAAACUAUCUAUAAUUAGUGGCACAAGACUAAUAAACACUUGGUGAGGGCUACCACUUAAAAUGUACAAGAAGAAAAAGUUUAAAACCUGCUGCUCAUUUUUAUAUUUAUAAUGAUAAGGGUCAAAUUCGGGCCAAAACAGACUGAUCUGAUUAUUGAUUGAUACCUGUUCUGAAGAUCAAAGGCUCACGUGCUAGAUUUUGGAAACCACAGAGCACAAUUUGUGGAAUCCUCCUCCUUUCCAUUUUUUUUUUAUAUGAUAGUAAUACCAGUGGAUGAACCAAGCUGCAGUUAGAAAUCUGCCCAAUCACUCAAAAAAAAAAUUGACAGAAGACAAAUUUAAAUCAAAAUUCUGUCACCGGCGAGUAGUAUAAUCUAGUUGCUGGCAAAAUCUCAAAAUCCUUGACCAUUAAGAUAAGCAACACUCGUACAACUAAACAAAGUAAUGUGAACUAAAACAAAACAAUUCUGAGCAACCACUGCUUGAAGCAAACAUGCUCUAGCUCACAGGUCCUGCACGCUCAAACCUGCAAUAAUUGAAAGAGAACGAACGUAAGUGUCCAGGAAAGAUGAUAAAACAAUCUCAACUACACCACAAGUAUCAGACAUAAUGCACAGAGCUCUUGCAACCUAUUAUUUGAUCUGUCAAGGGCAAGGCAACUCAACCAUAAAUUACAGCCACUAGCCAAUUUCCUGUCUAUUCAUAUUUUGGCUUUCAUUCAUACAUCAUUAAGAAUCUGAGCCAGAAUACCCAGCUUAAGGUUUCAAAAUCAAGAAAUCACUUCAAACUCAGAAACAAAGACAUAAAGCUAAAUAAUGAAAUAUACUAGUUUAACAAUGGAAAGCAAAUAAGGUUUAGAAGCACGAGUCAAAUCACUACAAAAUCCAACUUAGACAAAGUCUACUCAAUCUAUGAGACUUCCACAUCAUUAUCAACAAUAGCAAAAUGAAGCUAGAGAUAAAAAGCACAAAAAAACGAGCUUAUACUUUAUAUUCUGAUUGAUACUAUGUUACACUACAUAAUUAUGGUAGUGAAUGGUUUUGAGAAAAUACUACAGCAUGAAUAUUGCAGUACUUGGAGAAAAAGCAGUCAUCACAAACCUGGGGGAAGUGAUUGCUUCAACUUGUCAGCCUUCUCGGAGUCGAAGACGCAGAGUGUGUACAGAUACUUAGAGCAGCGAACCUUGAACUUCACCACAUCUUUGCUCCUCUUUAUCUUCACGGAACGCGCAUCCUUCCUUCUAGCAGUGAGAAGAAAAUCCUUAAUCUCGUGUAUUUGCUUCGGCUAUGAUCAAGACGGAAAGCAGUUAGUGACAUCCACAAGAAAAAACAUUGGCAGCUAAAGUUUUACUGUAAAAGUAGAUACUAUUGCAAAAUAAUGAAUUAAGUAGUAAUUCCGCCGAAAAACAAUUCUCGCAAAUCAGUUUUUCAGCCUAAGUGUCUCUUUAUCAGAUUUCAACUUCUAAGGCUUUCCUCUUCCCUAUAUAGAAACAUAGCGAAUUUAUCAAAAAAUAGCACCAUUUGUGAACUAGAUAACAGUCUUGCAAUAACAUCAGGACAAUAGUAUAUGAGCUCUGAUGACAAAGUCAAUCCAAGCAUAAUGAGUCCACGAUGGUUCAAAUUCAAAAAGAAAACUUUCACCAACUGAAUUGUAUAACAUAGCUAGAUAUUCAGCUAUCGCUCAAUCUCAUUACAGUUACCAAAUUUAAGCAGAACUUCAAAACAAAUUCUACAUAAAAGUAAGUGUGCAUAUGAUCUCAACGCUAAUAGGGGAAAUUUUAUAUAAAUUGAGCCCAGGAAGCUAUGAAAAGGGGAAAUGACAACAGAAAAACGGUAAUAACCGCAACAUAAUUACGUAUAUUCAUAUAUCCACUCCAACCAAUAGUCAUCGUUCACACAAAUCAAACGUUGCAUUACAUAUCCUUAAAAUCAAAGUAAAAUAAAAUACAAAAAGGAAGAAAGAUCCUAAGCCCGAAAUGGAAAAAAAAAAUGAAUCGAUAAUCCCCUAACCUCAAGUAUAUAGUAGAAGACAAACAAAUGCUAGUUCUUCCACGAAUAAGAAUUAACCAAAAAUAAAAAGGAAAAAAAUGCAAAGAAGAUGACUACAAAUGGCGCAUUAACUCGAAACUCAUACAGAAAUAUGGCAAAGAGAAACCAAAUUUAAAUGGUAAAUCGGAAGAAAUUUGAAGGGGAGAUAGAGAUAGAGAUAGAGUACCAUGUUUAGCGACGAUGAAGAGCAAAGUAAAGCAGCUGCUGCGGCGGCUCCUCCUCCAGCACCAGAGCAAUGGUUUAUAUAACACUCUCGGCGCACAUAAAACCUAGGAUUUUGUUUUCCGAAGUUUCUUUUCCCAAAUUUUACCCCUAACCUCAUGAUAUUUAUCCUUAAGUCCCUCCCUUAAAGUCCCUUUUAGGGGUGGCAAUUUUCGACAGAUCUGAAAAUCCGACACGAACCUAACACGAAAUUAAUAGAUUGGGAUUUAGAUUUGAUAAAAUCGGUCAGAAUCGAGUCAAACCUGACAAAUUCAAAAAAAAACAUGUCAAAAUCGGGUUAAAAACGGGUUGACCCGUCAACCCGAUUUUAAAAUAAAUAAAUAAAUAAAUAAAUAAAUAUUAAAAAAGUAUCUAAAAACUUAAUAGUAAAUAACUAAAUAUAAUAUACCAAUUAUCACUUAUCACUACGCAGAAGCAGAAAUCACGCCGGCCCUAAAUCUUUCUUUUCCUUUUCAACUUUUCUCUUCCAAAAAUCUAAACUCAACUUUUUUCCUCCAAAAAUCUAAACGCAAAACCAGAUUUAGAUCUAGAUCUGACUGAUGAUGACACUGAUGCACACAGGACUGAUUUGAUGACCAUAACCAGUUUGUAUUGAACGAGCAGUCCAACUGUCCAAGCACGCAAAAUCUCGCGGGGAUUUCACUAUCUUGCCUCAAUCACAUUGUUUUGGGUUGCAAGUUCAUUUGUUCUACUAUCAACAAGGUCCCUCCGUUAGAGUUCUUUACUUCUUUUCUUUUCUUGAGCUUUUUCCCUCUUUUCUAAAAACAGAGGCAGAAAGAUGAAAUCUUGUGUUUUGUCACUUAUAUUUUAACUACAUUUAUAAAACCGCUUCCACUUUUUCUCUCUUUCUCUAACACAUACACACACACCAAAAAGUCUCUUGGCGUAAAAUGUUCACCGAAAAUCAAUUACCGGCCUUUCCAACCUCAGAAAAACAUUUAUUACGAUUUUCUUGGGCAGAGAAAUGUCAUUCGAUGAAUUAAAUUUCAGGUCGUUUCGGUCAACCCGCUUGACCCGCCAAUCUGAAACUUUCGAGUUCGGCAUCAGCAUGCCUGACCCGUCACGGGUUGACGGCGUCAAGUUCGAUUCAACAGAUUUUUCUGACGGAUUGCGGUCAAAACCCGACCCAUCAACAUGAUUUGAACCCGAUUGCCCAUCCCUACUCCCUUUGUCCCUUUCUUUGGCCUUCUAAUUUUUUCUGGAGUUUUGAGGAGAAAAUUAGAAAAUAGUUUAGUAUUGCUUCUAAUUGUAAUAUAGACACAAAUAGGGAAAAUUUUUUAUAAGAUAAUCUCUUCUUUUUUUUUUGAGUUAGCGUCCUGUUUGAUAACUCAAUUCAGUACGUAAUUUAAUGAAUUCAGAUUGUUUGAUAAUAAAAAAUUGAACAUCUAAAAUUAAUUAAAUGUCAUUAAAUUUUCAAAGCAAAACUUGCUCUCAAAAUUAAGCGAUAAAUUAUUCACUUAUCAUUGAAUGUGAUAUGCAUUCAAAUAUAUUAAAUUUAAUAUUUAACAAUUCAAUAACUUAAUAAAUUCACACUUCAAAUUUUAAAUUUCAAUUAUUAGAUUUCAAUUUUAUCAAACGUACCCUUAGUAUUAUUUUGCUUAAAUAUUUCAAAAUCUUAAUUGAGUCCUUGAAAUUUUAAAAGGUUUUAUUUUAUCCUUUAAAUCAUUCCAAAUAAUAAAAAUCUCAAUUUGGUCACUUUGAGAGAAAAAGUUUCAAUUUGGACACCAAAGGAAGCCACAAAAUUGUAACUUGGACUCUAAAAGUGAAAAUCUUAAUCGGGUCCUCCACAUUGAGAAAACAUUCCAACAUGGUCCUCUAUAUGUAUUUUGCAUUUGCUAUUAAAACAAGAUACCAACGCCGAAAGAAUUAACUCCAAAAAUAGAAAAAUAUAAGCAAAAGUAAUUCUUGUCCUUCUAUCUAAAAAAAAAUCUUCGUUGGGUUCUUCUUCUUCUCUUCUUUUUUUUUCACACAAUGGUUGAAAAUUAUUUGAACUAAUUCUUUUUUUCUAUAAUUCUUUUUUUUCACAUAAGAUGACAAGUAACUCAUAAUGGUGAGAAUAACAUAAUUAUAAAAUUAACCCUUUUAUGAUGAGAAUUAUAAAUAAAUCAUGUUAGAGAUAGGCGAUAUUAUUGAAAUAAUUUUAAAAAAAAAUACUGUAGCACUUUUUUGAUGUGAUAUUUAUGAGAUAAAAAUGUAAUUAAAAAAUAUAUUUGAUGAUGCAAGCAAGUCAGCGUGUACAAAUAAAGUGUAAAUAAAGUGCAAUCCAAACACAAAGUUGAACCCCUUGGCUUCUAUUAUUAAUAAACUCCAAGCCUUUUGUGCCCUAAAAACUCAAUACAGGUAAAUUCUUUGAUUUAAUUUCAAUACAACAUACCGUUUUAUUAUCGAUGAAACUCAAAAUUGUUUUGUGUUAAAAUCAAAAGAAUUAACAAUAGAUUGGACUCUUAUCAUUGAAUAAAUUAAGCCUCAAAUGCUUUAUGUAACAAGACUAAAAUGGGAUUGCGUUUUGUAUGUAUUUUACUGUUGUAGCUCCAAAUCAAACCAAAAAAUCAGGCGAAAAAAAAAAGUACUGCCACAUCUAAUAUACUAUAUACACCUGCUUGAAUUUUACAUCUAUAGGUUUUAAAACAGCACUGGCAUGGUCCAUGGUUGGAGCAACCAUAUUCGCGUCUAAUCAUAAUGUGAUCACGCUCAAAUUGAAUUUGAAUCAAUUAAUUAGCUUGGCCUGAAUCCUAGUUGGAACUUAGUAAUUAGUUCAAUUAAUCCUUUAACCUUCAACCAAUUAGAAACUACAUACUCUAAGUUCAAAAACCUUAAUUCUCGAAAGAGAAAAUGGCCAAAUUUGCUCUACUAAACUUUUUACUAGUGCUGAUUUAGUCUCUAAUUUUAUUUUUGGCCAAUUUGAUACGUCGAAUAUAUGUUGUGAUUCUAAUUAAGGACUCUCUAAGGCGGUAACACCACGUAAAAGUACUCGAUUGGGAACUUCAAGUAUGGAUGUUAAUAAAACCAAGUAAAUCAGAAAAAAAAAAAAUCAUUAGUUUUUUGGGGUAUUUUAAUAUUUAAAACUUUUUGAGGUAUUUUUAAAAUUUUUAUUUUAAUUUCUUUCCUUUUCUCCUACCUUAUCUCUUCCUCGUCCCUACUCCCUACCAUUGUCUCCAGACUCACCACUCUCCUCUCUGCCAUAGGCACUACCGCCCACCUAUUUCCUCUCCUCUUUGUCUACUAUUCUCUCUCCUACCCUUUUGCUAAUGCUGCAUCUCUUGAUCUCGUCCCAUCAAAGAAAAGUCUAAAAGAUGAAAAAUCAAAGUUCCCAAAAUUAAAGGAAGAAAGAAAAGCUUUUAAAACCAGAUCUUGCAAAAAUCCCAGAUUAAAGGAAGAGAAAAGCUUUCCAUUCGAUCUUAUUUCAUAGGAUAGGAUUUCUAUUCCAAAAACUAGAUCUUACAAUUCAAAUAAUUUAAAAGGUGACUGCAUAAGAACAUUUUGAAAGACCCAAGUUCAAUAUUAGAAGUCUUUGCUUUUUUCCUUUGUUCGUUAAACUCCUUCUCAAUCUCAAUGCAUUGGGAUUUGUUGUCCACAUAAUAUACUGCCAGUUAUCUUUCUUAUUGCUAGAUUUCUUGAAUUCGAUCAAGAUGUAUCAUUUCCUCAGGCAAUUGUCCUUCAAAAGAAAAUUUUACUACUACUGCACUUCGUUUCUCAUGUCCCAAGGGAGAGGUGGUGGUAGCAAUGGAGUUUGGCAGUGGAGGAAGAAAAUAACCAAAAAAUACCAAAAAUAAUCGUGUGUUGUUUGGUCUAUCAGGAACUAAAUCGAUGUUCUGUGUUUGGCGCUGUCGCGGAGGUCCCUAAUUAGAGUCGCAAUAUAAGUCACAUAUCAAAUUGACCAAAAAUAAAAAUUAAGAACUAAAUUAAUCAACACUAGAAAAAAGUUUAGGGAUGAAUCUGGCCAUUUUCCCAUUCUCGAAACUUUAAGGCUCUUAUAAAAACUUGGAUUAAUUUCACUUUGCACCCUUCAAUUAUAUUCAAAUUAUCGUUUUAGACCCUAAAUUUCAAAAUGAGAUAGUUAAUUAGUUCCUAACAUAUAAAAUUUGUCCCACUUAAAUAAAAUCAUUGACUGAAGUACGACAAAUUUUAUACAUAAGUUGGAUGAAUUUAUGAAUUAAUCUUUCCUGUAUUAUUAUUAUAUAUAGUGAUGGAUUUAGAAGCAUGACACAACAUCUCAAUUUGAAUUUGAGCACCAAACUUUGCACAAGUAACACUCACUAGUGUAGGCAUUGACAGUGCAUAAAAGAUUUAUCCAAAAUUUGUACUUUAUGAGCUAAAGUGCGACAUAAUUUAUAUUUUAGAAACGUAUGUUAGAUUUUAUAUUUUUUUUAGAAACCAAAAUAGGACAUAUUUUAUAAUUUAAGAAAUAAAUUAUCAUAUUUCCAAGUUUAUGAACCAAAGUAGAAAUUUAGCCAUUGUUGAAAGUGCAAAGUGGAAUUAGCCCUAAACACUAUUUUUGUUCAUAAUUAAGUUCUGAAAGCACAGGUACUAGCAAAUGUAUUGACAUAAUUAAGCAUCUUACAUAGAUUUAGUUUUGCAUGUGAUGCCCAUUCUUGGUCUGAAUUGUCGAAGAUGUUUUGUUUGCUUUGUGUUAAAGAGUACGCAUUUCUAAUCUAAUUUGUUUCACAUGAUAAGUAUUGCUUCGAGUAAUUGAAAUAGGAUGGAAUUGAUCACAAUUCAACCUGAUUAAUUAUAGUAGCAAAUAAAGUCUAUGCAAUGGUCUCGUGACUUAAACGUAGUAAAAGGACAUAAGAUAAAGAACCUAGUUGUGUACAAGUUUGUUCAUUUCAUCACCAAGAGAUGCUGCUGCUUGUUUGUAGAUGGCCAUGCAAAUUCUUCACUUAUAACUACCUGAGUUUUCUCUGAAGUUACCUUAUGGCACUUAAGAAUUAUGGUUGCUUUUUACCUCAUUUUAAGUAAUGCAAACAUGAUCGGAUUUUGUGAAGCAGUAAGUGACUUUUUUUUUUUUUUUUUUAAAUCAGUUUGGGAAGGAAACAAAAUUUAAAGAAACAAAGAUUGUGUUGCUUUAUAAUAUAUAAACCAAGUUCAAGCCCAAAGAAAAAAAAAAUAACGAAUCAGUAAAUCUAGGCAAUCCCACUCGUAUUGACAUUGGCACUCAAUUCCAGGUUUGCCAAUUUAAAGAAAAUUUCACCCGGUUGAAGCAAAAUUAACCGAAUUCAAAAGCUAAUAAAACCAAAAACACAAAUUUUUUUUUUUUAUUAAAGAAUCAUCUCAAAGAGUUGAAGUCCCAAUCUUGAUCUUAUUAAUCUUAAUUAUUGUUUUAGCAGGAAAACAAGAAUUAGAAAAUCACCUAAAAUAUGCAUGCAAUCGUCUUCUUAACCCUAAAGGGCCUAAACAAUGAUCAUCACGCUCACGCUGCAUAUACACAAUGUGUAUCUACCUGCUCCUUUUGUCUCCAAUUCUUGCAAUCAACUGCUGAUUUUGGUCAUUCAUAAAUACUCUUAAAACAAAAAAAUAUCAUGUCAGCUCAUGCUGCACCUGAAUCACAAACAUUAUCAAGGGUUUUCUUUUGGGAGAUUUUUCAUGCCAAAUUUCCAUUAAACAAAGGGAAUUGAAGAACAAUUUCGAGGCCUUCCAAGACUAGCCAACUCACAUUGAUUAACAAUCAUAAACAAACUUCUUCUGCACAUCAAACAUUCAUGCAUGCAUGCACAUAUAAUUACAGAGUUAACAGGGAAUAUAUUAGCAUUAUAGAUCAGUUGAUCAUCGUCUCCUUGCUUUUUCCUUCUCCUUCCUCUUCGAGAUUGCUUUCUAGUCAUCGCCCUCUUUCUAGUCAGUGGAUGAUUUCUAGCAAGUUUCAUGAUAAUUUUUUUUUGUCAAAUAAAAAAAAGUUCCACCACAAAAUUUCAAGUUCGUUGAAAUAAAAAAAAAAAUGGACAUGAAUUUGCAAUAUUCCGCUUGUUCACUGCAUUUUGUAUCCCUAUUUAGAGCCUAUUUGGGAGUGGUACUUUUGUUUGAAAAAAUAAAGGUACUUUUCAGUAAUAGAAGUAUUUUUGUGGUGUUUGCUGAAUAUUAUUUCAUAAAUUUAUGCAUAUAGUUUUUGGUGUCAAAAGCACUUAGCAAAUGUCCCAAAUCGGUGCUUUUAAAAUAAUUUUUAUGUUUUAAAAAAUAAAACUUAAAUUUUGAUCAUUUUAUCAUAAAUUAUGAACUGAAUAAAGAAAUAAAUACAUUUCCAAAAUUUAAAAUCACACAUUAUCUAACAUAACAAGCAUUUAUCCAAGUUUAUAUCCAAACAACAUAUUUUAUCGGUUGAUUAUCAUAGUAAACAUUUGAUUGGUUAGCCUUGGUAACUUUUAAAAAUUAAUUUUCUAUACACUAACAGUACAUAUAUAUUUUCAGCAUAAGAUGCAGUCUAAAUUUUGAAUUUAAAAUUCAAAUUUGCAUAUAUGUCAUACAUUCAAUUAUGAUAGUGUAUACAUUUUAGUGUAUACAAGGUUAAUUCUAUUUUUACCAAUGUGGUAUGUGUCGUUAUAUGUUAUACAUUCAAUCGUGAUUGUGGUGUGCGUCGUUAUGUGUUAUGCAUUUAACCAUGAUAACGCGUACAUUGUUAAUAUAUUUAAGGUGAACUCUACUUUUAAUGGCUUGCAGAGUCCUGUCCGAAAAUACAAGCGAAAAUAUUCGGGUUGAUAACCUGCGGGGGAUGCUAGUGUACGUGGAACUUCCGGCUGGGGGCUGCUUGGUUUCUAAUAGUCCAGCAAACUUUGUGCUGACCUUUGGGCUUUUAUUGAGCCCACUCUGCAACUCCUUUCCAAUAUGUAGUGUUUUUUAGUGAUGAGAAUGGGGGCAAAUCAAGCAUUGCCGUUUGCGUGCGUCCGAUAUGAUUGUUGUAGUUAUCCUCUCAAUCUCAUUAAAUUUACAUUGAAAUAGUUUUAACCUAGGUUUGAAAUUCAUUUACGUAUUUGAAAUAGUUUUAUAUGGAUAUUAUUUCAAAAAAUUAUGUGGAUAUUAACGUAGUUAAAUACUUAUAUAUGUGUAAUACUAAACAUUUGUAAAAAAUUUGCAAUAGUGACUAUCCCUUUGAAAUUUUCUUGACCACUAACAAGUCUAAUUCCAUGAGUCAGUAUUAGGGGUGGGCGCGGGUCGGGUACCCGUCCCAUUCACCAUUUGGCUGAUCCGACCUGCACCUUGCGGGUCAGCCAUUUUCUGACCCUUACCCGCUCCGAAUAUUAUCGGGUACCCUAUAACGGGUACCCGUUGAGAUAGAGUCGGAUCAGCGGGUAUCCGUCCCGCCUCGUUUAUCAUUUAAUUUUUUUUAAAAAAAAUGAUUUAUACCAAUUUAAUUUUAUAUUUUACACAUUCAUCUAAGAUUUAAUAAUUUUUUUUCUAAAAAAAGGUUUCCCACUAAAAAACAAGCAUAUGAAGAGAAUAUAAGAUAAUGGAAAAAAAUUAAAAGAAUUCAAAAUCAAUAAAAGUUUGAAAUAAGUAGCACAAUUUUUAAUAUAUAUGUUCCACAUUAAUUAAACUUUUUUCUAUAAAAUAUAAGAUCAUGACCUUUACAAAUGAUUCUUGUAAAUAAACUAUAGUCUCUCAUAUUUGUAAUGCAAUUUGUUCAAUAAAAUUAUUUAUUUAGUUCUAACUUAUUAUUUUAUAGUGUGUGUAUAAAAAUAAAAAUAAAAAUAAAAAUAAUAAAUAUAUAUAUGCGGGGCGGAUCGGGUACCCGCGGGUUUUUAAUUAUGUGACCCUAACCCGCUCCGCAUCUUAGCGGAUACCCGACCCUCUUUUGACCCAAUCAAAUAAUAAAAUCGGAUAUCCUAAUUUUCGGAUCGGAUCGGAUCGGAUAUGACGGGUUUUCGGGUUAGCGGAUAAUUUUGCCCACCCCUAGUCAGUAUUACUUCGUUUGGAUUGACUAUUUUUUCAAAAAUGAUUUUUUUUAAAUACAAUGCUACAAUAAAUACACAAUAAUUCCAAAAAACAUCACAUCCAUACAAUAUAUCAAAUGUUUCAAAAAAAUUUUAUAGUACAAAAUUUUCAUAUAAAUUGUUACAGUAAAUUUUUUUCAAAAUACUCCAAAAAACAGCUAAUCCAAAUGGUGCCCUUUCACAAUUACAAAACUAAGUAGUGGUGUCAAGUUUGUUACACCCUGUAAAACUAAAGAUUCAAGAUGCAAUGAAUAUUUGGUAAAACCUAUGAACUAAUGAACUUAACUACAUGUGAUUUGCUACUUCCCACACCGAAAAUCAGUUCUUUAAUCCUUGCCUAUGUUAAAUGCCGUUCUGACAUUUUUAUUCCUUUUUGUCACAAACUAUGGAAACAUCAGGGCCAGACACAGUUUUCAAGUUUCAACCCGCUGUUACAUACAUACAAAUUCUGGUAUUUGAAAGACCAAGAAAACAAGAAUAUGGAGACGAGCGUCCGUGGUUGAAUACCAUUUUCUGUCAUGAUUGAUAUGUUGUAACAUGUAAACAACAUUUUCCAGAACUACAAUUGCCUUGGGUUUCGUUCUCAUUUAUGCUUCAUACCGUCUUAUUUGUGCUCGUCUUUUCUGGUUUGCUGAAGUUUCAUCACCUAUAAAUACCCUUGAACUGAUUUCCCAAGGCAUAAGAUCACCGACUUCUCUUCUUGAUACUGAAAGGGGAGCAACAAUGGAUUCCUCCUUAGCAUACAUUGUAACACUUGCAGUGAUCCCAGUUUCAAUUGCCUUCAUUUUCUUGAUCGCAAACGAAAUUCGAGCAGCUUGAAGCUUCCUCCAGGAACGUCGGGUGGCCAAUGGUGGGAGAAAGUUUGCAGUUUGCUUUAUUAGGCCCCCAGAAGUUUGUAAAAGAUAGAAUGAAGAAAUAUUCACCAGACGUGUUUCAGACGUCCCUGAUGGGAGAAAAAAUGGCUAUUUUCUGUGGUGCACAAGGCAACAAGUUUCUAUUCACAAACGAGAACAAACUUCUAACCUCAUGGUGGCCUCAGUCCAUGAAAAAAGCUCUGCUUUUCCCUGAAUUUGUUGAGGAUUCUUUAAAGGAAGUAUCAGCUCUGAAGCGUAGUUUCAUGCAUGAUAUUCUCAAGCCUGAAGCUCUGAAGCAAUACAUUCCAGUCAUGGAUGCACUGGCUCGGGAACAUAUCGAACAAGAAUGGGCUCCUCACAAGAAGUUAAAGUCUUCCCUUUGUCAAAAAAAUACACAUUUGAUUUAGCCUGUCGCUUGUUUUUGAGCGUUAUGGAUCCUGAGCACAUCAAGAAACUGGCUGAUCCUUUCCAUCUGGUUACCAAUGGGAUGUUCUCUGUCCCUAUUGAUCUCCCUGGAACAGCUUACAAUGGAGCUAUCAAAGGUGGAAAAAUGGUCCGUGAAGAGCUGUUGAGGGUCAUCAGGGAGAGGAGAAAGGAGCUGAUGGAGAAUAAAGAAACUGCAGCAGCAUGCAAGGACCUUCUGUCGAGAAUGCUACUUGUCACAGAUGAAGAUGGACAAUAUUUGAGUGAAAUGGAAAUCUCCAACAACAUCAUAGGCUUGUUGGUAGCAAGCUAUGAAACUACAAGCACUGCAGUCACCUUUGUGUUGAAGCACCUUGCUGAGCUUCCCCACAUUUACAGAGAGGUUCUCAGAGGUAAAAAUUUCUUGUGCCACUUCCAAACUUUAAUUCUCCUUGUUUUUUCCGUGUAAAGAAUGGUUGAUUGACUAAUUCAGUUUCCAUACACCCAUACAUAUAUAUAUAUAUAUAUAUAUAUAUAUAUAUAUAUAUAUAUAUAUAUAUUCAAAAGGAGAUUAUCGUAUUCAAAUUUAGUGUACUAACUUUUUAAAAUAAGUUAACGGACAUUGAUUAUCGUAUUCAUCACCACAGAACAAAUGGAGGUUGCAAAGACAAAAGGUCCAGACGAAUUGUUGACUUGGGAGGACAUUGAGAAGAUGAAAUAUUCAUGGAAUGUAGCCCGUGAAUCCCUGAGGGUGACGCCGCCAGCUCAGGGAGCUUUCAGGGAAUCUGUUGCUGACUUCACUUAUUCCGGUUUUACGAUUCCAAAAGGAUGGAAGGUAUAUGAGCUGAAAUAUCUAUAUCUAUAUCUAUAUCUACACACACACACACACACAAACACAUAUGUAUAUAUUUAUCCUGCAAUCUUAUUUUCUUCAUGACCGUGAUGAAUACUGAAAAUUCAGCGGCAAUCAAAUUUAUUUGCAGACGUUUUGGACAGUGCACACAACUCACAAAAAUCCCAAGUACUUCCCUGAGCCUGAGAAGUUCGAUCCUUCAAGAUUUGAGGGAAGUGGACCUGCUCCUUACACUUUUGUUCCUUUCGGAGGAGGACCUCGAAUGUGUCCUGGAAAGGAAUAUGCUCGGCUAGAAGUUUUGGUUUUCAUGUACAGAAUCGUGACCCAAUUUCAACUGAAAAAGGCAAUUCCAAAUGAGAAGAUAGUGUACCAUGCAUCUCCUGUGCCCGCGAAUGGGCUUCCCGUCCUUCUCCAGCCUCAUGGGAAAUAGCUUGCAAGCAGUUAUUGGUACCAUGCAUCUCCUGUUCCCGGGAAUGGACUUCCUGUGUCUCCAGCCUCAGGGGAAGAUAGCGUACCAUGCAUCUCAGUGCCCGUGAAUGGGCUUCUUGGUUGAGUUCGAAGUUUGCUUUUUUUUUUUUUUCUUUUUCUAAAGAUUAUUGUGAAAAUUUGUGCAAAUUAUUUCUGCUGUAUCCAUAAACAGACCUGAUAUGUUCGUUCAUUUGAGAAAUGGACUAUAUCUUCAAAAUAAAGUUUGUUAGUCAACUUAGAUAUGUAUUGUAACAGUUCAUUUCUGUAUUCUAGUAUCAUUUUAUCUGUGGUGAAACAGAAAGUAAGACUUCCCCAAGGAGUUAUCAAAGAAUAUUAUAUGUGCAAACAAAGAGAUUAAUGUGUUAUCUUGUUUCUUUAAAGCCAAAUAUGCUGCAUCCUAGAUGGUUGUCAAAAAUAUAGUAUUUUCUUUCUUUCUUUCUUUUUUAGCUAAAAAGUUUCUCUUAUUUUUCAGAAAAUCUCUAUUUACUUCUACAGAAUGUUAUUUUUGUAAUAUAAAAACUGCACCAAAUUGGUUCCAAAUUCUAUGUUCUGCCAUAAAAUGCAAAAAUGUGGCCGUUACCACAUAUUUGAUGUGUAUCUUUUUGAUAAACAAAUUAUAAGCUGACAUAUAACUCCCCUGAGAAGUCUUGUCAUACUUAAUUAGAGAAUGCUACAAUUAGCUAGUUGUCCAAGAACGAUUUACACCUAUCAGGCAACCAGUAUCGAAAGUAAAACUUGAAAUUAUUAACUUCCAUCCAGACAACAUCUAAUGCUUAAAAAAAAGAAGAAAGAAACUAUCCUACGAAAUGUGUUAAACUUGGUUUAAAAUAGUAAUCAAUAAUGGUCCACAGAAGUCAGUGCCUGGUUGUUAAAAAAAACAAAGCAUAGCAUUCUCUUUUGGUUUCUUAGUGAAGGGAACUACUACUAUUUUAAGUCAUUUUUCAUCAAGUAUGAAUUGACAUCUUUCUUGAAAGUAAAACAAAGCUUAGGCAUUUCCUUCUGGUAUUCAUCAUCAAGGUUGUAUAGUUUGACAGGAGAAGAAAAAGGGGCAUAAGUGAAGGUAAAUAAUGGCAUCCCAAGAAGUGGCUGCAGCAAAGGUGGCAUCGAUUUUCAUAUAUCCAAUCAAAUCCUGCCGUGGAAUUUCUGUCUCUGAAGCACCUCUUGCAUCCACUGGUAUGAAUUACACUCUUGUAACUGUACCAACCUUAUCAAUUUCAAGAACAUGCUUUAGUGCUGCUGUUUUUCCUGGUUAUUUUGCAGAGAUGGAUGAAUGGGAGAGGAUGGCCUCAUUGCAUGUUUAUGCUGUAGUUGAAAUUUCUAAAUGUUGCAUCUUUUGUCUGCUGCCAGAUUAAUUCACUUCCUUCUGUUAUUUCAACUCUGGUAUUAUAGAAUUGAGAGAGGGUAGGGUCCUCAUCACCCCACAAAACCAAGCCAGUGUGGUAUUACUGUUAAAACAAAUUUUCUAGCAACUAAGAGCUUAAGAGUUCUUUGUUGUUGACAAAAUAUAAAAAAUUCCAUCAAUUGAAAAAGGAAAAAUUAUUUCUUUGGAAUAUGGCUCAAUGAUCUUCAAUCUGUUAAGUGUGAUGUUGGCAAAGAGAAAAUUUUCUGUGUCAGGUCAAAUUUGCACAAAUAAAUCUUCUAUGGUUCCUUUUCUGUUUCCAUAUUCUAUAGCACUGUAAAUUCUGAGUAGAUGAUCCACACUGUAAAUUCUAUAGCAUUGUGUUCUUGAGUUUUCUUCUCCUAAUUCAGCUGUAUUCUAUUUCGUUAAAGUUCUUGAUAAGAUGGAGUGAAUCAGAUGAUGCAUGCAUUAUCAAUAUCAAACUACUUUUUCGAUCUCUAUGAAAUCUUUAUUCUUUUGAUUUUCAUUUUGAUAAGAUAUUCGAUUCAAAAGUAAAGGUCGUUUUUCUGGCAGAAAUUUGGCUUACUUUUCUUCUGUUUAAAUUUACUUACAGGUUUUAGGUGGGAUAGAUUGUGGAUGGUUGUGAAUUCUAAAGGCAGGGCAUAUAGUCAAAGAGUUGAGCCAAAACUUGCUCUAGUUGAGGUAGAAAUGCCAAUAGAAGCAUUUUCUGAUGUUUGGGAACCAAAUAACAAUUCCAUCUUAGGUGAGUUCUUGAUCACUGAGAAUACAUAUAUAAUACCUCUUGAUUAGGCUGUUUUCAUUCCUCUUUUCUGCCGCCUUCCCCUUGUCCACUCUUGCAAGUUCAACAAGUAAAUUGCUUAAGAUCUUAAUACUCCCUGUUGCUUUCGACCGUCGUUUCUCUUUUUCUGCGCAAUGUGGACCAAAAUGUUAGAACAAUGGCAGAUCACCGAUCGCUUUUUUCCAAUUGGAGUUGUGGUAACAGCUGAGAAAUGAAAGAAACGCCUGGAAAGAAAAUUAAAAAAUUAAAAACAAGAACAGUUUUAAUUCUUUUGUGAUUUCAUUUAGUUCAGAGAGUUGGUUUUGUUCCAUUAAUGCAAGGUAAAAGAAUGAUUGUUUAAAGUAGCUGCAGAUUUAGCUGGUGAUCAAUGUUCUCUUCAUCCAACAGUUGUCAGGGCCACAGGCAUGGAUUUAUUGAAGAUUCCGCUGGCCGAACCAUCUACAAUAGCAGAUGGAGUCUCAAUCUGGGAGUGGGCUGGCGGGGCACUUGAUGAGGGAAAUGAAGCAUCAGAGUGGUUCUCCAGAUUUCUUGGCAAACCAAGUCGGCUAGUGCGUUUUAAUGAAGGUAGCACUCAGUUAGGCAAUGAGAUUUAACUUUCUACCUCUGGGCAAAUGUAUAUGAACUCAUUUUUGGCAACAUAAAAUGCUGAGAGCUAGGCUGCUGCAUACAAAUCAGAAUGAACUUCAGCAUUUGGUUCUUGAUGAACUAACAUUUCUAGUCCUUUUCUGUUAUCUUUGGAUGUUCAAAUUGUCUUUGUUUUCCCUGUGUAAUUUGGCUUCUAUCAUUUCUAGAAAUUUAUUGCAUUACUCUGGUCUCAGAAAUGCACCAAUGUCCAGAAUUAGGACUAUCUUUUGUAUCUAAGGAAUAGAGAUGAUAAUUUUGAGAAAGAGCGAAUUUCAUGUAUGCGUGCUUUAUUACCAAACUCUUGCAUUAUACUUUUUUUUUUCCCCUGGAAGUCUAUUUUCUGAAGCUUAUUUAUUGAAAUCAUGCAUCAUUGAAAUGUAUUUAAGUCACAAAAUGAGACAGUAAUUUGGGUUUUGAUUAAUCAUGCAGCAUCAGAAACCAGGCCUGUCUACUCUGAUCCUGUCCGCAGUUAUAAGAUUAAGUUUAAUGACAUGUAUCCUUUUCUCCUGGCAUCUCAGGUUAGUUAGUGAGACUGGUACAAAUCGAUAUCUGACCAAGUAGAAGUUUUGAUCUAAGAAUUUUUCAUUGGUUGUUCUGCAGGGAUCAUUGGAUGCAUUAAAUGAUCGUCUGGAGGAACCUAUACCCAUGAAUCGGUUUAGACCUAAGUAUAUGCAUGCUCGAACCCCUUGCUCUCCUGCUCUUGUUUGCUUCUUUCAGUUUCCUUUCACUUUCUGAGUAUAUUUGUACUCCUUUUUCCUAUAUGCUUCAUAACCCAUAACCCAUAUUUUACCCAAUGCAGAAGAAUUCAAAAGGCUUCAAAAAUGAUGUUUUUUUUUGUUUUUCAGUAUACUUGUUGAAGGAUGUGAGCCAUUUUCUGAGGAUUUUGGAAGGAGAUCAGCAUAAACAGUUUAACAUUCUAUGCUGGCGAGCUAUGCUACCGCUGUAAGGUAAAAGUAAAACCUCACUUUUCUUCAGUUUUGUUCUUGAUCAGUAUACUCAGAUUUUAUUUGUGAAGACUAAUCAAGUAUAGGUUCUAAUCUGCCCUGAUCAUUUUAGUUGAUUAUCGUGUAACCUUUUCCUUUCUUCCCCCAUCCCAACAAGUCCUCGAUUAGAAAGUAUUUUAGUUUCUUUAUUGCUUUCAGAGAAAGAGAGAGAGGAGUGGCAAAUUGUUGUAAACAAUCUUGCACCUUUUCUCAUUACUGAUCUUGGUAGUGAACUCACUCCAUAAAUUAAGUUUCAGAGGGCUCAAAUAUGUAUCCUGAACCUUUGCCUAGAUAGGAGGCCCUGAGAUAAUGCUGGAGGAUUACCUGCUCUAGAAGUUCACUGCCUCUUAUCAUGCUGCAUAAAAAUUGCUCCAAUCAAAAAGGGGCAAGAAAAAGAUUAAAAAAAAGUGCCAUAAUACAUAUGUUUGCUGUCAAAUCUGUAUUUGCCAUUUCCGUAGCUGUUUGUUUAGUUGAGGUUAGUGUUGCGAAGGUGCACAGAGGAAGUAACAAAAGUAUGCUAUUGCACCUAUAAAGACUUGACAUCUGAAUCUCUCUAUGAGUUUCUAAGCUCAGAAAUCUUGCCUCUUACUAUUUACAGAUACCAAGCAUCAAUCAAGAAACAGCAGUAGCAGGUUCAGAGCCCACGGAGACGCUGAGAAAGUUUCGUUCAGACAAAGUCCUGUGUCCAGAUAAAAAACCACAGGGAGGGUAAGCAUAAACAAAACAUUGUCAUGGUCCUUCUAGAGACCAAAUCCUGAUACUAACUUAGCUCGGAUCUGCAGGUUUACUUUGGAAAAAUGUUAGUUUGCAAAGAUUCACUUACUCAAUGGAAAUCGAAGAAAAUACAAGUGGGAGAUCCUGUUUAUAUUCGCGAAUUAUUACCUUCCUAUAACGAUGCAGCAGCUUGACCUUAAUAUGUUCCAUGUACAGAUUCUGCCCACUUGCCCUGCCUUGAAACCAUGCAAGUAUAAUGGUCAAACAUUUUAUGUUUGCAAAGAUGUGUUUUAAACUGUAACCCUUCGUUAUAUGUUUACCAGUCAAGCUAGUUGUAAAACUUUUCAUCUGAUGUUAAGAAUUAUGUGGUUGGUUUGUGGAACACUUUUCCUCCAUUGUUGGCUCGUAUGUCCCCUGGUAAGGUGAUCAUAAAUUUGAUAUUGAAGAUCAAACCAUCCAAGAUUGUUUAAUAUGGGUUCAUGAGUGAUAAUUGAACUCCAAAAUCAAGUGACAGUUUGCAGCUGAACUCUUGGAUACACAAGCAAAUGAUUCAGUUAUCUGUUCCAUCUUUUUAUAGCCACCAAUUUUGCUGUUUGUAGAUAAUAAAAUGGUAGGGGAUCGAUAGUAUAAACUUCUGAUUUACAAUAUGAUCCUAGACAAAAUAAACAACAGAUGCCUGGUUUAGUGUGCAAAGUUCAACAUUGAAAGAAAAAAUCACUAACACUUCAGGAAAUGCAUGUUACACUAAACAGAAGUUGUAAUGGAACAACAAAAACAUUAAAACCAAAAUUUUUCUGUGUUUCCUUUGAUUUAAUUGCAAUCUACAACCCUGUAAAACCGUUACAUUGAUGUCACAACUCUCGUGCAUUUAGGAUGCUAUGCUAAAUCUUGUGUAAACAUUCACUCUACAGUGUAAAAUCAACUACGUGUUGUUAUGCCCCUCUGGCCUAUGAAUUAAACAGGGAUGGAAGCCCUUGAGUAGGGACUCGUUAUGCAUCAAUUGAAUCACUAUGAAGCCUGCCGAAGCAUCUGCUGGAGUUGAAUGACCUGUUGCUGCUGAUCAGGUGGCAGUGAACUUACUUGCUCAGGUGUUAGAAGAAGCACUUGCUGUAGCAGAGCAGUCUCCACAUCAGGAGGAAGCUGUACCUUGAGAAUGAGAAAACCAAAGUCUUACUACAAUUAAAGAACAAACCAAGCCACCAACAUUCAUGUUGAGAGUCUUAACAACAAAACAUUAAAUGAAAACGAGUUUUCAGAUGGAAUCUAGCCACCCUCACGCAGAUGACUCCCAAGGUAUUUCUGAGAACAUUUUCUUCCUCCUCCAUAACCCUCUAUAUGCUCCACAAAAAUGGUUGCCCUUAGAAUUAUCAGUUUUGCUAAGUCAUAUUUACCUCUUAUUUUCCAAGCACUCAUGCAACAAAAGUGUGUCAUCUGGCUCUGGACUUGGAAAUGCAUCAGAAUUCUUUUCCCAAUCCUCACUCUCCCCUUUUAGCAUCAACAUCAUCCAUCAGUAGACAAACUUAGUCGAUGAAAUAAGCAUUGUUGUUUAAUUUGUUAGUUAAUCAAGUUUUGCAGUUCUAAUCUGCUUGGUUUGUGGAGAAACUUGGUAUUAAUGUUCCAGUGACAAUUUACUGCCUAAAGACUUUAUGAAAAGUUGGUAUUAAAGAUGAGAAUUUAAUCAACUACUGUAUUAAGAAAGUGAGAAAGUUAAGCAAACUACUCAAUAUAUCCAGGGUUAAGUAGAAUGUGGUCAUAUGAAUCUGACAGGAGGACACAGCUGGAAUACACUAUUAAGAACUUACAAGCUUUUGAUCGUAUAACAUUUCUUCAUAUCUCAUCUCCGCUCUGCUGAUCCUCAAAUUGUCAACAGAGAGCAAUCAAACACUAGAUAACAAAUGACACAAAAUGUACAUUUGGUGUUUCUAUCUGUACUUAGCUCAAACGUGUCUGUUUCCAUUAGGGACAAAAUAUCACCAGUAAUCCCCACAAGAGCAAGUACCAUCCUUGAAAUGAUGGAACCUGCGAACAUCUCUCACAAUGAUCUCCCUCUCUACAAUCUUUGAAAUGAAUUUGCAAGCAGCAUGACAAUCAUUGCAAACUCUAAGAUUCUUGGCUACUCGAAUAGUAGUCCCAGGAGGGGUAUUUAGGAGACCAAAGGCCAUUGCUAAUCUCUCACUAUGUCCACACAGCAAAUUCUCUUUCUGCUCUUCAUCAACAUUGUGAAGUACACAGGAAGUAUCAGGCUCAUAACCCUCCUCUUUCAUCUUAUCUGACAGUUCAUCAAUAAAGCUGUAUAGCUGCUCACUUUGUGGGUGUGAUAGGUCUCCAGCCAAGAACUUAUGAACCUCAUCACCAAACUCAAUCCAACUGCACCCAGGUUCUUUUCUCACUCCCUUUUCCUUCAUGUUCUUGCGGACAUUAUUAGCUUUUUCCCAAAGUCCAGCAGAUGAGUAAAUGUUAGAUAGUAAAACAUAGUGGCUAGCAACAUCUGGCUCCAACUGAAUGAGAUUGUUUGCUGAAAUUUCGGCAAGUUCUACAUUUCGGUGGACCCGGCAAGCACCAAGCAUACUGCUCCAAGCCCCUACCUUGUCACAGUGUAUGGGCAUGGAAUUGAUGAGUUGAAGUGCUUCCUCAAGCUGACCAGCUCGACCAAGCAAGUCAAUAACACAUGCAUAGUGGUCCGCUGUAGGUUCAAUCCCAUGAUCUUCUUUCAUUUUAUGAAACAGUUGCCGGCCUUCAUCUACCAACCCAGAAUGACUGCAUGCUGCAAAAAUCGCAAUAAAGGUCACUUCAUUAGGUCUCAGUUCUCCAUUUCUGGAUCCAUCCACUACCAUAACAUUGAAAAGUUCCAAGGCUUCGUUUCCUUUCCCAUGCAUCCCGUAAGCCAUGAUGAUGACAUUCCACGAGAUCAAAUUUCUGGUAGGCAUGCCAUCAAAAAACCUUUUUGCUAAAUCUAGACAUCCACAUUUGGCAUACAUAUCAACCAAGGCACUACCAACAGCAACAUCUGAGGCAAGGGCAUUUCUAAUAGAAUAGGCAUGAAUCUCUUUACCCUUUGAUAGUGUUGAUAAGGCAGCACAACCAGGAAGGACAGUCAUUAGUGAUAUUGAAUUUGGUUUAAUGGGAGUUCCAAGAUUGCCCUCAUGGUUAUCCUUCCAUUCCAUGCUUAUUUCUGCUUCUUGCAUUUGAUGCAUUAGACGAAGUGCAUUUUCAUGGUAUCCACACACUACACAGCCCGUAAUCAUAGUGUUCCAAGAAACAAUAUCUCUACUGUCCAUGAUUGAAAAGAUAUAUUCUGAAACAGUUAUCUUGCCAAUCCUAGAGUACAAGUCCAUCAAUGCAUUUUGCACAUACCGAUCUCUAGCAAAACCUAGUUUUAUUAUAUAUCCAUGAAUGACUUCUUUAUUGGAAAAUGCUUCACAGUGCACGCAAGAUGGCAAGACACUUGCAAUUGUGGUUGGGUUUGGCAGAAGCCCUGGAAUCUCCAUCAUAUCCAUAAAAAGCAUCAAGGCAUUCUCAUAAAAUCCAUUCCGUGCAUAACCAGCAAGCAUGGCAUUCCAAAGCCCAAGCCUCCUCUCUGGAGUACCAUCAAACACUCUCCUCCCACUUUCCACCUGUUUACAAUUGCAAUACAUGUCAACCAAUGCACUUGCCACGAAAGAGUUCUCUACCAAAUCUUCAUUCCUCAGAACAAAUGCAUGAAUUUCCUUCCCAAUGUCAAGUAGCUCUAAAUUAGAACAUGCAGGAAGAAUACUCGAAAGUGUCAUGCCAUCAGGCAUGAACCCCUCAAUUAUCAUCAUUCUGAAGUGCUCCAAUGCCUCAUAAAAUUGACCAUUCUGUUGACAUGCACUUAUAAUGGUAUUCCAUGCAACCACAUCACGAUUAGCAUAAACCUCAAAUACUGCCCUAGAAUCACCAACACUUCCUAGUUUUGCGUACAUAGUCAUCAAAGCAUUCUUGGUAAAAGUCUUGCAAUCAUCCACUCUCAAACUAUACCCAUGAACUUGCUUCCCAAGCUUCAACCCAUCACUACCACCCAAAUUACUACACGCCAGUGCGGCACUCACCAAAGUAAAGGAGCUAGGCUCAGUUCCCUCAUUACCCAUCAAUCUUAACGCUUCUAAUGCCAUUUCCCACUCCUCAAAUUUACACAAAGCAUUAAUCAUCGUAUUCCAAGACACUUGAUCUCUUUCAGGCAUUCCAUCAAAUACCUUGAACACUUCCGACACAUCUCCACAACUCCCGUACAAAUGAAGCAGGGUAUUGGCCACGGUAACUGACGAAUAAUCAUACCCAAGCUUAACAACAGAACCAUGUACCUGCUUUCCAAAAUUCAAGUCGUGAAGACCCGUGGCGGCCUUCAAAACCGCUGGAAAGAUAAAGUUGUCCGGCGUAAUGCCUACAGUGGUCAUCUGAAUGUAGGUGGAAACGGCCUCUUCGAAGCGUUUGGCUUGGGUCAGGGAUCGAAAUUCUUUGCUCCAUGAGGUUAAGGAACGUGCGUGUGAAGUGGGUUUUGGUGGGUUUCCAGUGAUGGUCGGAGGAAAAAGAGUUUUAGUGGUGGUGGUGGAGAGCGGUGGUUGAGGGUAAGUUUUUAUCUGAGAUGGUGGCUUCGGGAUUUGAGUUUGUAGAGAAGAAACGGGGUAGGGAGGCUGAGAAAGAGCUUGUGUGGAUGUACAGGGGAAUGACAUUGGCGGAUAAGGUAGUUAUCACUGUUGAUGCGGCUUCCCUCCCUUGUAGUCGUUUGUUUUGGAUGGUUUAUUAUACUUGCAUGCUUUUAUGGGUUAAAUCACAAUAAGUCCCCCUAAAGUUUGGUGUGUUUAGAAGUUUACCCCUUUACUUUUCUCACUUUAUCCUCUUCGUCAAUUUACCUCAGCAAAUUGGCCGUCAAAACAUUGUAAUUGGCAAAAAUAUCCCUCAUUUUAAUCAUUAAAUUUUUUGAUGAAAAUGGCACUUUUCAUGUUUCAUAAAGAAAUGAACCCCCAGAAGUUAUCAAGUAUGUUUUGGGCAUUUAUCACGUCAAAAAAUUUGCUCUCACUCUUUUGCAAUAUUUGCAACUAAAAUGCCAAGUUUCUUAAACUGCAUUCCCUUGCUCUCUCGUUAGAUGUUGCUUAGCACACCAUAUGAAAAAAAUCCAAUUCAAGAAACCUGUGAAUGUGUUAAAAUAGCCUUGAGAAGAUCUUGGACGUUGAAAAUUUUUCGAAAGGACAUUUCAUGAAUAUUCAAAUUAUAAGGUUUGAUUUUUAUGAUAGGCUAAUUAUUUUUUGUACUUUUUGGAAAACUAAUUUGAAAUACAUAAAAUUUUUAUUUAGAAUCAUCAUGCAUACAAUUACUUUGAAUGGAUAGACUCGAAAUUGUUCGCAGAGGAAGAAAAAUAUAUGCUAUAUCCGACCCAAAUCUAUGGGCAUUUAUAUCUAUUCAUUAUUUUUUAGGGAUAGUAUUGUACUUUUGAUGUCAACUAUCAGCAUUGUCCUUUUGAUGUCAAUGAUCAGCACCGUCACAAAAUGUUGGAGGAGGGGCUGGAACGGUUGUCAGAGAUAAACCGUUCCGGAAGGUUCACGGUCAUGAUUAGGCCAAAAAAUUUUGUGCGGCUCAGAUCAUUCCUUGUAAUUUGAUUUUCACGCCAUGUGGGACCCACAAAAAUAUUGUUCUAGUGUUACUCGCUGUUGUUCUAUUAUUACACCUUGUAUAAAUAAUGUUACACCGUGUGCAAAUGAUGUUACGUCUUUCGGAACGGUUGCUAUCGUUCCAGCCCCGGAUCCCAAAAUGUUUGCUUUGCUAGUCAAGGGGAUAAAAUGAAAAAAAUAAAACAUUAGGAAAUAAACUGCAAAAUAUACUAAACCUUAGGGGGACUCCUUGUGAUCAAUCUGAAUUUUAUUUGCUUGGAUUUUAAACCCAUUUUUUAAUCACCUUUUAUUUGAUUCGAGAUACAUUACAUCAAAAUAGUGUUACAUAUCUUUUCAAAAAAAUUAUCCCAAAUACUCUUCCGUCCAAACCUCAUCCCUGUUAUAUUUAGUAAUUUCUUAUUCAUUUAUAAGGGACAAAUUAAUCAUUUCUUGAUUGCAUUUUUACUUCAAAAGAAAUAAUAAUGUCUUUCCAUUGGAUACAACAUGAACACUCUUGCAUUUCUUUUCACGGUCGUCUCAAUGACAUGUAAUUGAACUUAAACCUAACCGAAUCCAAAGAUAAUUAUGCAGGAAAGUUUAAUUGGCAUAAAUCAAUUCCUUUACUUCUCAAAUUUCUCAUGGACUAUGAAGCAUAAGAUUUUUUGCAUCACCAAUCUAAGAUAGACAUGAACACAUCUUAGUGCAUCAUACUGUGGCACGGAUGGUUUGACAGAUGAAUUGUGAACGUUUUUUUAACAUUUUCUGUACUUGGCAGUAUUGUGAAGACAACCUAAGAUAGGAUUAUUUAUAUUAUCCAACAUCCAUUACUAAAACUUUAGGAUCCUAAAAGUGACAUUCCAUGUCUAUCCAGAAAGAUAAAAAGAGUAGAAUCUCUUUUCAAGAAAAAGGGAAAAAAAUAAAUCUUAUAUAGAUUAAUAUGUACAUCAACGGUGUAUACAUUAUUACGAUUAGAUGAACAAUACAUAUAAAAAAUUUUAUUUUUAAAUUUAAAUUCGAAUUAUGUUUGAUAUAUUAAAUAAUAAAAAUAUAUACUGCCUGUAUAUAAACGAUUAAUUAAAAAAAUGCCAAAAAAGAAGGGGAAUGGAUUCAAUAGAAUCUUGCAGAACUUUUGCAUAGAAUCGGUGAAGGAUAAGAAUCCGCACUCUUUCCACAUUUCUGAACCUGGUCAUCAUCUUUCAUCCUUCCAGCACGGAAUCCCCCAGGCCCCAUCCUCGGAACUAGGGAUGUACGCGAACUGAGAUACUUGCGAGUGACUCGCGAGUAGCUCGAUCAAUGGCUUGGCUCGAAUUCGAGUUGAUCGAGUUCGAACCGAGUUUCGAGUAGCUCAAUUGUCGUUUGAGUUGAGUUUCGAGCCUCAAAUUUUUGGCUCGCGACUUAUCGAGUAGCUCAUCGAGUCGAGGUAUUUAAAUAAUAUAUUUAUAAUUUAAAUAAUAUAUAUGUAUUAUAAUUAUAAAAUGACUAUUAUGGGUAUAGGUUAUACGGAAUUUACAAUAUACUCUUCUUUAUAAUAAAAUUCUAUAAUGGCAAAAAAGUAAUAACAUAAUUGUAAAAUUACCUAAAAAAUUAUCGAGUCGAGUCAAAAAACUUGAUUAGACUCGACUUGAUAAGGCUUAACUAAGGGCUGACCCUUAUCGAGUCGAGUCUCGAGUUUAAAACGAAUUUAUCGAGUCGAGUUUCGAGUAUUAAUUUUUUUGACUCGAUCGAGCUCGAGCUCCCGGGGAUAUAUGAGUCGAAUCGAGCUCCAAUAUUGCUCGACUCGAUUACAUCCUACUCGGGACCACUUGACUACGACCGAUCACUUUCUCGCAUCAAAAUCACAUUUAACAUCCAUCCCUCCAGACAACAAGAAUCCCAGUUAAACUUUCUUUCUAUAUCAUUUUACUGUAGGUUCAGACUUUGGUAGAGACUGAUUGCUACUAUAAAUAUGGAGUCUUGAGCAAGGCAGAUUGCAUCCCAGAACAGCUCUGCUUUAUCCACCAUAAUAUCAGCACCAGCAGCAGACUGGUAGCUAGUAGUUGUUAUUAUAGAGGCACAAAAAUGGCCGAGUAUACAAGAGAAGCAGCUAAAGUUACAUCAAUCUUUGUAUACCCCAUCAAAUCUUGCCGUGGAAUUUCUGUUUUUCGGGCACCCCUUUCUUCCACUGGUAAAAUCAAUCACUCCUCUACAUCUUUUUAAAUUUCAGAUUUUCAUCUUCUUGUCCCUUAAUUGGUCUGGCAUGUGCUUUCAAUUUCUAUCAUGGGUUCUUGGAAUUUCCCCGCCAUGCAUUUGAUUAUAACCUAUUUGUGCUGAAAAAAGAAAAUAGGAUCUUGGAAUUUUGGUCUUCAGUCCAUGCAUGUGUAACUAAAUUCAGUUCAGUUAGAAGAGAAUUUUGGGUUUUUCUUUAGUUAACAAGAAUGAGAACAUUUACUUUCGAAAGGGAUAGAUUAUUGAAAGGACCAUUAACAACCAUCAAGGUUAAGCCCAUAGUUCUGUUGGAUGAUAACCAUGUAAUCUUAGUACUUUAUUGGAUGGUUAAGGUACACGCAAUUUAUAAUUUUUAGCAGCAAUACUAAAUUUUAAUUUUGAAAUGCUAGCCUGGCUUGUCAUCGAUUCUUCACUAACAUGAAACUUGAUUUCAAUUUCACGUUCAGAAUGAUACAAAUUCUUUCCUGCUAAAUUUAUGUUGCAGGGUUUCGAUGGGAUCGACAGUGGUUGGUAGUGAAUUCCAAAGGCAGGGCUUAUACACAGAGACUAGAACCAAAGCUUGCUUUAGUUGAAGUAGAACUGCCAAAUGAAGCAUUCUCUGAUGGUUGGGUUCCAAAUAACAGCUCAUACAUGGGUAAAAGCUCGGACUUCUA
rnacentral:lncRNA from 1 species